ACGUACACUCCUGCGGGAGGCAGCAGUGGGGAAUUUUGGACAAUGGGCGCAAGCCUGAUCCAGCCAUGCCGCGUGCGGGAAGAAGGCCUUCGGGUUGUAAACCGCUUUUGUCAGGGAAGAAAAGGUUCUGGCUAAUACCUGGGACUCAUGACGGUACCUGAAGAAUAAGCACCGGCUAACUACGUGCCAGCAGCCGCGGUAAUACGUAGGGUGCAAGCGUUAAUCGGAAUUACUGGGCGUAAAGCGUGCGCAGGCGGUUAUGCAAGACAGAGGUGAAAUCCCCGGGCUCAACCUGGGAACUGCCUUUGUGACUGCAUGGCUAGAGUACGGUAGAGGGGGAUGGAAUUCCGCGUGUAGCAGUGAAAUGCGUAGAUAUGCGGAGGAACACCGAUGGCGAAGGCAAUCCCCUGGACCUGUACUGACGCUCAUGCACGAAAGCGUGGGGAGCAAACAGGAUUAGAUACCCUUGUAGUCCCAUG
rnacentral:rRNA from 1 species